rnacentral:lncRNA from 12 species
CCCCCCCCCCCCCCCCCCCCCCCCCCCCCCCCCCCCCCCCCCCCCCCCCCCCCCCCCCCCCCCCCCCCAAAUGGCGGGAAAAUGUGAGGGGAAAUGCCAGGUGUCACUGAGACGUUGCUCAGGUGUCACAGGUGAUUGAUGGUGGGUGCCAGGUGUCACACAGGUGCCACAGGUGUCGCUCAGGUGUCACAGGCGUCGCUCAGGUGUGAUGUUGGUGUGACAGGUGUCACUCAGGUGUCACUGAGGUGUGACAGGUGAUGGAUGGCAGGUGCCAGGUGUCACUGUGGUGUCACUGUCGUGUCACUCAGGCGCCACUGUGAUGUCAUUCAGGUUUCACGGGUGUCACUCAAGUGUCACUCAGGUGUUACAAGUGUCACUGUGAUGUCACUGUGAUGUCACACAGGUAUCACAGGUGUCACUAUGAUGUCACACAGGUGUGUCUCUCUCUCCCCAGGGCGCAGGUGUGAUGUCGGUGCACCUGUUCACCAAGCUCUCACACAGGUGUUACUGUGAUGUGACUCAGGUGUCACACAGGUGUCUCACAGGUGUUACUGUGAUGUGACACAGGUGUCACACAGGUGUCACACAGGUGUCACAGGUGUCUCACAGGUAUCACAGGUGUCACACAGGUGUUACUGUGAUGUGACUCAGGUGUCACACAGGUGUCACACAGGUGUCACACAGGUGUCACACAGGUGUCACACAGGUGUCACACAGGUGUCACACAGGUGUCACACAGGUGUCACACAGGUGUCACACAGGUGUCACACAGGUGUCACACAGGUGUCACACAGGUGUCACACAGGUGUCACACAGGUGUCACACAGGUGUCACACAGGUGUCACACAGGUGUCACACAGGUGUCACACAGGUGUCACACAGGUGUCACACAGGUGUCACACAGGUGUCACACAGGUGUCACACAGGUGUCACACAGGUGUCACACAGGCCCCCCCCCCCCCCCCCCCCCCCCCCCCCCCCCCCCCCCCCCCCCCCCCCCCCCCCCCCCC